UACAGAGGGUGCGAGCGUUGUCCGGAAUCACUGGGCGUAAAGGGCGCGUAGGCGGUGGCCGAAGCGUGCGGUGAAAGCCCGGGGCUCAACCCCGGGUCGGCCGUGCGAACUGGGUCACUCGAGUACUGUAGAGGCGAGUGGAAUUCCGGGUGUAGCGGUGGAAUGCGUAGAGAUCCGGAAGAACACCGGUGGCGAAGGCGGCUCGCUGGGCAGUGACUGACGCUGAGGCGCGACAGCGUGGGGAGCAAACAGG
rnacentral:rRNA from 1 species